AUUGAACGCUGGCGGCAGGCCUAACACAUGCAAGUCGAGCGGAUGAAGGGAGCUUGCUCCUGGAUUCAGCGGCGGACGGGUGAGUAAUGCCUAGGAAUCUGCCUGGUAGUGGGGGCUAACGUCCGGAAACGGGCGCUAAUACCGCAUACGUCCUGAGGGAGAAAGUGGGGGAUCUUCGGACCUCACGCUAUCAGAUGAGCCUAGGUCGGAUUAGCUAGUUGGUGGGUUAAAGGCCUACCAAGGCGACGAUCCGUAACUGGUCUGAGAGGAUGAUCAGUCACACUGGAACUGAGACACGGUCCAGACUCCUACGGGAGGCAGCAGUGGGGAAUAUUGGACAAUGGGCGAAAGCCUGAUCCAGCCAUGCCGCGUGUGUGAAGAAGGUCUUCGGAUUGUAAAGCACUUUAAGUUGGGAGGAAGGGCAGUAAGUUAAUACCUUGCUGUUUUGACGUUACCAACAGAAUAAGCACCGGCUAACUUCGUG
rnacentral:rRNA from 1 species